rnacentral:rRNA from 1 species
GCUCAACCGGGGAGGGUCAUUGGAAACUGGGGAACUUGAGUGCAGAAGAGGAGAGUGGAAUUCCACGUGUAGCGGUGAAAUGCGUAGAGAUGUGGAGGAACACCAGUGGCGAAGGCGACUCUCUGGUCUGUAACUGACGCUGAGGCGCGAAAGCGUGGGGAGCGAACAGGAUUAGAUACCCUGGUAGUCCACGCCGUAAACGAUGAGUGCUAAGUGUUAGAGGGUUUCCGCCCUUUAGUGCUGCAGCAAACGCAUUAAGCACUCCGCCUGGGGAGUACGGUCGCAAGACUGAAACUCAAAGGAAUUGACGGGGGCCCGCACAAGCGGUGGAGCAUGUGGUUUAAUUCGAAGCAACGCGAAGAACCUUACCAGGUCUUGACAUCCUCUGACAACCCUAGAGAUAGGGCUUCCCCUUCGGGGGCAGAGUGACAGGUGGUGCAUGGUUGUCGUCAGCUCGUGUCGUGAGAUGUUGCGUUAAGUCCCGCAACGAGCGCUACCCUUGAUCUUAGUUGCCAGCAUUCAGUUGGGCACUCUAAGGUGACUGCCGGUGACAAACCGGAGGAAGGUGGGGAUGACGUCAAAUCAUCAUGCCCCUUAUGACCUGGGCUACACACGUGCUACAAUGGCAGAACAAAG